AUAACAAGACCCAAAAUCUUGGUGCUGGGCAAGCCCAGCAGUAGCAACAUCAGCACACAAAGAAACAUAUCUCGAUCAACAUAUAAAAGAUUGGAAAGUACUAUCAACUUUUAUUAUUAGCACACGCUUCACCUUUUGACUGCAUGCUUAAGCAAAGUUUAUUUACAGCUCGGAAUUGAAACAAACCAAAAGCAUAACAAAAAUUUAACAUCUCGGAAAUUGCUACA
rnacentral:misc_RNA from 1 species